rnacentral:piRNA from 1 species
UAGAAGUCAAGAUGUUUUUGGAAAUCUGAGC